rnacentral:rRNA from 1 species
GAUGAACGCUGGCGGCGUGCUUAACACAUGCAAGUCGAACGGAAAGGCCCAAGCUUGCUUGGGUACUCGAGUGGCGAACGGGUGAGUAACACGUGGGUGAUCUGCCCUGCACUUCGGGAUAAGCCUGGGAAACUGGGUCUAAUACCGGAUAGGACCACAUUUUGGAUGGUGUGGUGGAAAGUUUUUCGGCGUGGGAUGAGCUCGCGGCCUAUCAGCUUGUUGGUGGGGUAAUGGCCUACCAAGGCGUCGACGGGUAGCCGGCCUGAGGGGGUGUACGGCCGCAUUGGGACUGAGAGACGGCCCAGACUCCUACGGGAGGCAGCAGUGGGGAAUAUUGCACAAUGGGCGCAAGCCUGAUGCAGCGACGCCGCGUGGGGGAUGACGGCCUUCGGGUUGGAAACUCAUUUCGCUAGGGACGAAGCGUUAUGUGACGGUACCUGGAGAAGAAGCACCGGCUAACUACGUG